rnacentral:misc_RNA from 1 species
GAUACCAUUGGCAUCAACCUCAAAAGUUACUUCAAUUUGAGGUGUUCCUCUUGGUGCUGGAGGUAUUCCUGUCAAAUCAAACUUCCCCAGUAGUCUACAGUCCUUUACCAUACUGCGUUCACCUUCAAAGACCGAAAUUGUGACGGUUGUCUGCUGGUCCUGGUAAGUGGUGAAGACUUGAGACUUCUUAGUAGGAAUGACAGUGUUUCUUGGGAUCAACUUUGUCAUCACUCCUCCAACAGUUUCAAUACCAAGAGUCAGUGGAGCAACAUCCAAGAGAAGAAUAUCUUUGGUUUCA